rfam:Anabaena cylindrica PCC 7122, complete genome.
GUACGUUGUUAAGCACAGCAAUUAUAGAGGUUUGGUAAUAAACCAAACCUUUU